rnacentral:rRNA from 1 species
GACGAACGCUGGCGGCGUGCCUAAUACAUGUAAGUAGAACGCUGAAGAGAGGAGCUUGCCCUUCUUGGAUGAGUUGCGAACGGGUGAGUAACGCGUAGGUAACCUGCCUUGUAGCGGGGGAUAACUAUUGGAAACGAUAGCUAAUACCGCAUAACAAUGGAUGACACAUGUCAUUUAUUUGAAAGGGGCAAUUGCUCCACUACAAGAUGGACCUGCGUUGUAUUAGCUAGUAGGUGAGGUAAUGGCUCACCUAGGCGACGAUACAUAGCCGACCUGAGAGGGUGAUCGGCCACACUGGGACUGAGACACGGCCCAGACUCCUACGGGAGGCAGCAGUAGGGAAUCCUCGGCAAUGGGGGCAACCCUGACCGAGCAACGCCGCGUGAGUGAAGAAGGUUUUCGGAUCGUAAAGCUCUGUUGUAAGUCAAGAACGGGUGUGAGAGUGGAAAGUUCACACUGUGACGGUAGCUUACCAGAAAGGGACGGCUAACUACGUG